rnacentral:rRNA from 1 species
AAUGAACGCUGGCGGCAUGCCUUACACAUGCAAGUCGAACGGCAGCAUGACCUAGCUUGCUAGGUUGAUGGCGAGUGGCGACCGGGUGAGUAAUGCAUCGGAACGUGCCUUUUAGUGGGGGAUAACGUAGCGAAAGUUACGCUAAUACCGCAUAUUCUCUGAGGAGGAAAGCAGGGGACCUUCGGGCCUUGCGCUAGAAGAGCGGCCGAUGUCGGAUUAGCUAGUUGGUGAGGUAAAGGCUCACCAAGGCAACGAUCCGUAGCGGGUCUGAGAGGAUGAUCCGCCACACUGGGACUGAGACAAGGCCCAGACUCCUACGGGAGGCAGCAGUGGGGAAUUUUGGACAAUGGGCGCAAGCCUGAUCCAGCCAUGCCGCGUGAGUGAAGAAGGCCUUCGGGUUGUAAAGCUCUUUCGGCUGGGAAGAAAUCGCACCCUCUAAUACAGGGUGUGGAUGACGGUACCAGCAUAAGAAGCACCGGCUAACUACGUG